UGGGGUCCGGAGAGAAAACAGAAUCGUCUCCUGAAGAACAAGAACUCCUUGUGUCAGGGUAACUAGGUGAAUACUGUUCGAGAGGCUGACUGAGGUCCAAGUAUUCCUGAAAGAAGGGAAGAGAGACACACGUCCGAACUCCAGCACA